AGAGUUUGAUCAUGGCUCAGGAUGAACGCUAGCUACAGGCUUAACACAUGCAAGUCGAGGGGAAACGAUAUUGGAAGCUUGCUUCCGAUAGGCGUCGACCGGCGCACGGGUGAGUAACGCGUAUCCAACCUGCCCACCACUUGGGGAUAACCUUGCGAAAGUAAGACUAAUACCCAAUGAUAUCUCUAGAAGACAUCUGAAAGAGAUUAAAGAUUUAUCGGUGAUGGAUGGGGAUGCGUCUGAUUAGCUUGUUGGCGGGGUAACGGCCACCAGGCGACGAUCAGUAGGGUUCUGAGAGGACGGUCCCCACAUUGGAACUGAGACACGGUCCAAACUCCGUACGGGAGGCA
rnacentral:rRNA from 1 species